rnacentral:rRNA from 1 species
GUGGGUAGUUUGACUGGGGCGGUCUCCUCCUAAAGAGUAACGGAGGAGCACGAAGGUUAGCUAAUCCUGGUCGGACAUCAGGAGGUUAGUGCAAAGGCAUAAGCUAGCUUGACUGCGAGAGUGACGGCUCGAGCAGGUGCGAAAGCAGGUCUUAGUGAUCCGGUGGUUCUGAAUGGAAGGGCCAUCGCUCAACGGAUAAAAGGUACUCCGGGGAUAACAGGCUGAUACCGCCCAAGAGUUCAUAUCGACGGCGGUGUUUGGCACCUCGAUGUCGGCUCAUCACAUCCUGGGGCUGAAGUAGGUCCCAAGGGUAUGGCUGUUCGCCAUUUAAAGUGGUACGCGAGCUGGGUUUAGAACGUCGUGAGACAGUUCGGUCCCUAUCUGCCGUGGGCGCUGGAGAAUUGAGGGGGGCUGCUCCUAGUACGAGAGGACCGGAGUGGACGCAUCACUGGUGUUCGGGUUGUCAUGCCAAUGGCAUUGCCCGGUAGCUAAAUGCGGAAGAGAUAAGUGCUGAAAGCAUCUAAGCACGAAACUUGCCCCGAGAUGAGUUCUCCCUGAGACUUUAAGUCUCCUGAAGGAACGUUGAAGACGACGACGUUGAUAGGUCGGGUGUGUAAGCGUAGCGAUACGUUGAGCUAACCGAUACUAAUGAACCGUGAGGCUUAACCUUACAACGCCGAAG